UACAGAGGGUGCGAGCGUUAAUCGGAAUUACUGGGCGUAAAGCGCGCGUAGGCGGCUUUGCAAGUCGGGUGUGAAAUCCCCAGGCUUAACCUGGGAACUGCAUUCGAGACUGCAUUGCUAGAGUAUGGGAGAGGGAAGUGGAAUUUCCGGUGUAGCGGUGAAAUGCGUAGAUAUCGGGAAGAACACCCAUGGCGAAGGCAGCUCUCUGGGACGGUACUGACGCUGAGACGCGAAAGCGUGGGGAGCAAACAGG
rnacentral:rRNA from 1 species